rnacentral:rRNA from 1 species
AGAGUUUGAUCAUGGCUCAGAGCGAACGCUGGCGGCAGGCUUAACACAUGCAAGUCGAGCGGGCGUAGCAAUACGUCAGCGGCAGACGGGUGAGUAACGCGUGGGAACGUACCUUUUGGUUCGGAACAACACAGGGAAACUUGUGCUAAUACCGGAUAAGCCCUUACGGGGAAAGAUUUAUCGCCGAAAGAUCGGCCCGCGUCUGAUUAGCUAGUUGGUGAGGUAACGGCUCACCAAGGCGACGAUCAGUAGCUGGUCUGAGAGGAUGAUCAGCCACAUUGGGACUGAGACACGGCCCAAACUCCUACGGGAGGCAGCAGUGGGGAAUAUUGGACAAUGGGCGCAAGCCUGAUCCAGCCAUGCCGCGUGAGUGAUGAAGGCCCUAGGGUUGUAAAGCUCUUUUGUGCGGGAAGAUAAUGACGGUACCGCAAGAAUAAGCCCCGGCUAACUUCGUGCCAGCAGCCGCGGUAAUACGAAGGGGGCUAGCGUUGCUCGGAAUCACUGGGCGUAAAGGGUGCGUAGGCGGGUCUUUAAGUCAGGGGUGAAAUCCUGGAGCUCAACUCCAGAACUGCCUUUGAUACUGAGGAUCUUGAGUUCGGGAGAGGUGAGUGGAACUGCGAGUGUAGAGGUGAAAUUCGUAGAUAUACGCAAGAACACCAGUGGCGAAGGCGGCUCACUGGCCCGAUACUGACGCUGAGGCACGAAAGCGUGGGGAGCAAACAGGAUUAGAUACCCUGGUAGUCCACGCCGUAAACGAUGAAUGCCAGCCGUUAGUGGGUUUACUCACUAGUGGCGCAGCUAACGCUUUAAGCAUUCCGC